UACAGAGGGUGCGAGCGUUAAUCGGAAUUACUGGGCGUAAAGCGCACGUAGGCGGAUCGAUCAGUCAGGGGUGAAAUCCCAGAGCUCAACUCUGGAACUGCCUUUGAUACUGUCGAUCUGGAGUAUGGAAGAGGUGAGUGGAAUUCCGAGUGUAGAGGUGAAAUUCGUAGAUAUUCGGAGGAACACCAGUGGCGAAGGCGGCCAACUGGACGAAUACUGACGCUGAGACUCGAAAGCGUGGGGAGCAAACAGG
rnacentral:rRNA from 1 species